UGUUAGCUGAUUGUCUGUUUCCCCGUUUUAACGAUACGUAAGUACGUAGUUUUAUUUAUUAAGUAGGCUGAUAUUAAGGUAUGGGUGUCGUUAAUGAAAUGUUCUUUAUUGUAGCGGCAUCGCUAGAUCUAGGUUGUCUUUCGUUUCAGGGUGUUAGACUUGGGGCUAUGGGAAAGAGUGUCGCCUUUCCGCCCUUUGGAGCCGCAUCGUUAACUAUCGUUGUUGGAGGUGUAUAAAGUUGAUGUUCUGUAGGGCCUGCUCAUGGAUGUAAUGGAGUAAUAGAUUGGAAACAUCGUAGAUCUAAGAGGUGUCCAGCUUACACGCUGCAGGUCAUACACAUUUGAGGUGUCCAGCCUACAAACCGCAGGUCAAACAAGUUAGAGGUGUCCAGCCUACAGGCCGCAGGUCAUAUAAGCUAGAUGUGUUCAGGCCGCUGGCCAUAUCCGACCCAUAACGCAGAUAGAUUUUAAUUAAAUACUCACUAAAUUUACUUAAGAGCGCGUGGUGACUGAAUGGUAAAGCGCUUGGCUUACAAAUAGAGGAGUGAUAGGAGUGAAAAGAAAAAACAGGAACUUAGCUUUAGGGUUCAAGAAUUGGAAACUUAUUCAUUUUGUUUCUUUUAGUAUUGCACUGCAAGCGGGCUAGCUAAUGCGACUACUGUUUGAGUGAGACAUUACUUCUGACAUUUAUAUAUAGGCUAGAUAUCUACACCUAUAUUCCAGCCUUCAAAGAUUAUGACACAUAGUUGUGUAGACAGGGACAAGCAGGGCCGGUCUUAGGCCACUGCAACCUAUGCGGCCGCAGUAGGCCCCGCACUUUCAUAGGUCCCGCGCGAUGCGAAUUCUAGGUGUAAAUUAUUAAAUUAAACAAUUUUAACUUAUUAUUAAAGGGUUCCUGGAAUUCUCCUGAAAUUAUAAAAUAUAAGAAAAAAAGCAUGCGAAUCUUCUGAAAUUAUUAAAAUCUUCUGAAAACUGAUGCAAAUCUCCUUAAAACAGAAAAAUUUGUCAUUUUGGGAUAUCAUUCAAUAUGGAAAACGCCAAUCCUACAACUCGCGAUUUAAAAAAAAAACGGCAUUGUCAGCUUUCAUUUAAUAAAAAUGAAAUAAUAAGCCCAAUUUUAACCAAAACAAGAAGUUCAAAUACUUUAUUUACUUUAAUAGUAACUGGCAUACAAAUAUAGAUUUAAUACUAAAUUUAUCUCGACCUAUUAGAAAAAA